rnacentral:rRNA from 1 species
UACGGAGGGGGCUAGCGUUGUUCGGAAUUACUGGGCGUAAAGGGUUCGUAGGUGGCUUGCUCAGUCAGACGUGAAAUCCCUCAGCUUAACUGGGGAACUGCGUCUGAUACUGGCGAGCUUGAGUGCAGGAGAGGAACGCGGAAUUCCAGGUGUAGCGGUGAAAUGCGUAGAUAUCUGGAGGAAUACCGGUGGCGAAGGCGGCAUCCUGGACCGAGAUUGACACUGGAUGAGCGAAAGCUAGGGGAGCAAACGGG